CCUACGGGAGGCAGCAGUCGAGAAUCAUGCACAAUGGGGGAAACCCUGAUGGAGCGACGCCGCGUGGGGGAAUGAAGGUCUUCGGAUUGUAAACCCCUGUCAUGUGGGAGCAAAUUAAAAAGAUAGUACCACAAGAGGAAGAGACGGCUAACUCUGUGCCAGCAGCCGCGGUAAUACAGAGGUCUCAAGCGUUGUUCGGAAUCACUGGGCGUAAAGCGUGCGUAGACGGUUUCGUAAGUCGGGUGUGAAAGGCGCGGGCUCAACCCGCGGACUGCACAUGAUACUGCGAGACUAGAGUAAUGGAGGGGGAACCGGAAUUCGCGGUGUAGCAGUGAAAUGCGUAGAUAUCGGGAGGAACACUCGUGGCGAAGGCGGGUUCCUGGACAUUAACUGACGCUGAGGCACGAAGGCCAGGGGAGCGAAAAGGAUUAGAUACCCUUGUAGUC
rnacentral:rRNA from 1 species